rnacentral:rRNA from 1 species
AGAGUUGAUUAUGGCUCAGAACGAACGCUGGUGGCGUGUCUAUACACGCAAGUCGAGCGAGGCAGUAAUGCCGAGCGGCGAACGGGUGAGUAACGCGUAAGCAAUCUGCCCCAUAUCAGGAAAUACCCGUGCCAACGCGCGGUUAAUGUCCAGGAGAGUGGCCCUCUGCAUGGAGGGUUGACUAGAGAUUUAUCGGUAUGGGAUGAGCUUGCGUCCGAUUAGCUAGUUGGCGGGGCAACGGCCCACCAAGGCGACGAUCGGUAGCCGGCCUGAGAGGGUGAUCGGCCACAUUGGGACUGAGAUACGGCCCAGACUCCUACGGGAGGCAGCAGUAGGGAAUAUUGCACAAUGGGGGAAACCCUGAUGCAGCAACGCCACGUGUGGGAAGAAGCAUUUCGGUGUGUAAACCACUGUCAUGAGGGAAUAAGGCCCUUAUCCGUAAGGGACUUGAAUGUACCUUGAGAGGAAGCACCGGCAAACUUCGUGCCAGCAGCCGC